rnacentral:rRNA from 1 species
CCCUUAGAUGUUCUGGGCCGCACGCGCGCUACACUGAUGCAUUCAACGAGUUCCUACCUUGGCCGAGAGGCCUGGGCAAUCUUUUGAACUUGCAUCGUGAUAGGGAUAGAUUAUUGCAAUUAUUAAUCUUGAACGAGGAAUUCCUAGUAAACGCAGAUCAUCAAUCUGCAUUGAUUACGUCCCUGCCCUUUGUACACACCGCCCGUCGCACCUACCGAUUGAAUGGUCCGGUGAAGCCUCGGGGUUGUGGUUAGUUUCCUUCAUUGGAAGUUAGCCGCGAGAACUUGUCUAAACCUUAUCAUUUAGAGGAAGGUGAAGUCGUAACA